rnacentral:rRNA from 1 species
AGAGUUUGAUUCUGGCUCAGAUUGAACGCUGGCGGCAUGCCUUACACAUGCAAGUCGAACGGCAGCACGGGGGCAACCCUGGUGGCGAGUGGCGAACGGGUGAGUAAUACAUCGGAACGUGUCCUGUAGUGGGGGAUAGCCCGGCGAAAGCCGGAUUAAUACCGCAUACGCUCUGCGGAGGAAAGCGGGGGCUCCUUCGGGACCUCGCGCUACAGGGGCGGCCGAUGGCAGAUUAGCUAGUUGGUGGGGUAAAGGCCUACCAAGGCGACGAUCUGUAGCUGGUCUGAGAGGACGACCAGCCACACUGGGACUGAGACACGGCCCAGACUCCUACGGGAGGCAGCAGUGGGGAAUUUUGGACAAUGGGCGCAAGCCUGAUCCAGCAAUGCCGCGUGUGUGAAGAAGGCCUUCGGGUUGUAAAGCACUUUUGUCCGGAAAGAAAACCUCAGCCCUAAUACGGCGGGGGGAUGACGGUACCGGAAGAAUAAGCACCGGCUAACUCUGUGCCAGCAGCCGCGGUAAUACAGAGGGUGCAAGCGUUAAUCGGAAUUACUGGGCGUAAAGCGUGCGCAGGCGGUUCGCUAAGACAGAUGUGAAAUCCCCGGGCUUAACCUGGGAACUGCAUUUGUGACUGGCGGGCUAGAGUAUGGCAGAGGGGGGUAGAAUUCCACGUGUAGCAGUGAAAAUGCGUAGAGAUGUGGGGGAAUACCGAUGGCGAAGGCAGCUCCCCUGGGCCAAUACUGACGCUCAUGCACGAAAAGCGUGGGGGAGCAAACAGGAUUAGAUACCCUGGUAGUCUACGCCCUAAACGAUGUCACUAGUU